CGGGAGCUGCGCGGCCGCGCUGAGAGUCACGUGGUGCGCCGGGAAGCCGCCCCGCCUCUUGGAGAGCUCACGGCCUCGCUCCGCUCCUUUCCUGGCGGGAGGCUCUGAGCCACCCGCAACUGUGCAGGGCGGCCAGGGGUAAGUGUCCACGAGGAGCGUCGCGCCCACCCGGACUGGUCCACGCUGGGGCGCAGGCCGUCAGAAUGUCUUGCCCGGACCAGGGGACAAAAUGGCGGCAGGUUAAAACAAAGUCACAAGUCAGACCCACACUCACAGGGAGAAGAUUAUGCAAGAGCAAAAGCACGAGAUGGAAACCAUGGGGCCAUCUUAUAGUCUGUCUGCCGCAGAAAGAUGAUCACAAAUCCUGUAGUUCUCCAAUUUUGCAUCCUUAUAAAACAUGUACAAGAUUUCCAGUUGGUCUGCAUGCUUCCGAACACUCGAUAUUGCCAGACUUCUAAGUUUCAGGUGCAGAAAAGUGUGACACUAAAAGAACCAACCUGAUACUACCAUCCUUAGAAAAGCCUGCAUACAAGGUUGGCUGUCAUCUGGGAAUGUAGGUGAUCAAGAGUUCUCUCCACUGACAUAAACUUUCUUUAAAUAAUAAGGAUGACUCAUUGUGACUAGACUAUGCAAAUAAUGGGAUGUGUGUUAAACAUCUCCUUUCCUUCUGGGAGUCUGGAAUUUUGGUGUAUGCUAAACAGUGGGUGCCUGCAAGACCAGCCUCAAAUAAAAACCCUGGGCACUGAGUCUCCAAAAAGACUCCCAGUAGGCAAUAUUUCACACGUGUUCUCACAACUUACUGCUGGAGUAAUUAUGCAUGCCUUGCAUGACUCUAUUGGAAAAGGACUCUAGGAAUCUUGCACCUGAUUCUUACCGACUUCUCCCCAUAAUCUUUUUUUUCCUUGUAUCCUUUCCAUGUAAUAAACCUUGGCCAUGAGUCUUGUGAGUUCUUCUAAUGAUCAUUAAACUGGGCGCUGGUCUUGAAGACCCUUGACACAGUUAGUCUAUUUGGGAUUCCUACUAGAGUAUCGAUAUGAGUUGAAUUGUGUUUCCCCAAGAAGAUGUGUUUAAGUCCUAGCCCCCAGUAACUGUGACUGUGACCUUAUUUGGAAAUUGGGUCUUUUCAGAUGUGAUCAAGUUAAGAUAGGGUCAUACUGAAUUAAAGUGAUUCUUAAUCUAAUGUGACUGGAAUCCUUAUGAGAACAGAGAGAGAGAGACAGACACAGAGGGAAGAAGGCCAUAUGAAGAUGGAAGCAAAAGUUGGAGAUAUACUGCCAUAAAUCAAGAAGCACCUGGGGCAGGUAGAAGCUGGAAGAGGAAAGAAAGAGUCCCCUGAGCCCUAGAGGCUGCAGAGGGAGCGUGACCCUUUGAAAACCUUGAUUUGGGAC
rnacentral:lncRNA from 1 species